rnacentral:hammerhead_ribozyme from 1 species
CUUCGACUUGACGAGUCCCAAAUAGGACGAAACGCGCGUCCUGGAU